AGCAUCCACCAGCUGAGAACAAUACGGAGACAAAAAAUAGCCCGAAGCAGAGAAGCAUCUGAAGCUCAUUUAAGUCAAUGAGUGAGUGGCUGACGGUGGUGAAGGGUGGGGUGAGACUCUGUUCCUCCCCUGCACACCCUGGCCUCAAAGCUCCAGUGACUUGGUAUAAACUUUUUUACGAGCAAUUUUAAAGAACAAUCAGGAUCUAGAUAAAACUCCCGAAGUGUUUGGCUUCUUUAAUUCAGAAAAGAUGACGUGCAGGAGGCAGGACAAGUAGAAAUCAAUUUUUAGCUUUGGGAGACGGUUUCACCUCUAAAAACAAGAAGGAAAAAAAUCAAUGUAAGUGUUUUCUUGAAACAAGAUAUUUGAAUGCAAUCAAUGAAAAAGUCUAGCACUGCAUCCUAAAGUAUUACCUUGUUCUCCACUUUGCAAGAUCGGGCUGACAGUUUUACCGCAUAAUUGUUCAAACAUGUAGUGGCGGAUUGAGUACUUGGACAACAAAACAUAUAUUCAGCUUACUAUUUCAUUUGGACAAGUUUAGAUCAGAGGAAAAAGAAGAAGCAGAGAUUUUCAGAAUCAAUUUUUUUUUUCUGAUGUAGGCUAAACUAACUAAUUUGGGGCGUGGGGACAGGAGAAUAAACAAUAAUGAUGACAAACAUGAUUUUUAAUGGAGAAACUGAUACUUCGCAGUUUGUUCCAUGAAGAUAAUGUAAUUAAAAUAAUGGUUCAUCAGUCAGUCUUUGACAAGUGGACAGAGUGCAGCUCUGCAGUGCUCCACUUUAUGUCUACAGGUUCAGCUCCUCCGCCUUCAGCCAGCCAUCAGGGGGUUCCUCUCUUAGCUCCAUGGCAUAAUUGGCAAACCGUGCGGUGUCAUCUUACCCUUCUCUUUUCAGUGCAGCCUUUUCCCCUCCUCCCUCCCUUCCCCAAAUGGAAAGGGUGGAGAGUAAGGCAGUCUUUCAAAUGUUAGUUUGGUUUGCUGUAACAGCCCAUUGACAGUUUGGCGCAAAAAACAAGCUCCAUACUGAGCUUCAUAUAUCUGGGUCAGGGUCUGCUAAUGUAGGUGACAGGGGGAUCUGGGGAUUAAAACCUCUUUAUCUGCCUUUGCUUAAAUCCUGCUUUAUAGCCUACACUUCAGCUUUAGCUAAUAUGAUUUGUAUUGUUUGCCUGCAGGCUAGCUAUAUUUGAUCUACGUGGAUGUCAUCAGUGGACCUUUGCAGAGGCUCUUUUGCUUUUUGUGCUGAUUGGCCAUUAAAACAGAGAAUGGAUAUAUCACGCACGUAUAACGCCUAACCGUCUGGGCAUGAAUCUAAGGAUUUGACAUGUUCUUAAUUGUGUGUGCACACCUGCUGACUCAUCACUGAAAUGCGUCGUUGUUUAUCUAGCAUUCAUAUUUGCUUGUGUGUAAUGCAAAUAAAUACUUUUAAAAGACC
ensembl:lncRNA